rnacentral:rRNA from 1 species
GUGAACGCUGGUAACGUGGAUAAGGCAUGCAAGUCAAGCGGACCCGCAAGGGUCAGCGGCGAACGGGUUAGUAACACGUGGGUAUCAACCCUAAAGACGGGCAUAACCAGUCGAAAGAUUGGCUAAUUCCCGAUAGUCCCGCAAGGGUAAAGCAGUAAUGCACUUUAGGAUGAGCCUGCGGCCUAUCAGCUUGUUGGUGAGGUAAUAGCUCACCAAGGCUAUGACGGGUAGGGGGCGUGAGAGCGUGUUCCCCAACAAUGGCACUGCGACACGGGCCAUACUCCUACGGGAGGCUGCAGUCGAGAAUCUUCCACAAUGGGCGAAAGCCUGAUGGAGCGACGUUACGUGAAUGAUGAAAUUCUUCGGAAUGUAAAGUUCUUUUCUCUGGGAGGAACCGCAAGGUGACAGUACCAGAGGAAUAAGGAGAUCCUAAUUCUGU